AACGAACGCUGGCGGCGCGCCUAAUACAUGCAAGUCGAGCGAGAAGACGUAGCAAUACGUUUGUAAAGCGGCGAACGGGUGAGGAAUACAUGGGUAACCUACCCUCGAGUGGGGAAUAACUAGCCGAAAGGUUAGCUAAUACCGCGUACGCUCCUUGGACUUCGGUUCAGGGAGGAAAGCGAUACCGCGGGUAUCGCGCUCUUGGAUGGGCUCAUGUCCUAUCAGCUUGUUGGUGAGGUAACGGCUCACCAAGGCUUCGACGGGUAGCUGGUCUGAGAGGACGAUCAGCCACACUGGCACUGCGACACGGGCCAGACUCCUACGGGAGGCAGCAGUAAGGAAUAUUGCGCAAUGGGCGAAAGCCUGACGCAGCGACGCCGCGUGGGGGAUGAAGGUCUUCGGAUUGUAAACCCCUUUCGGGAGGGAGAUGGAACGAGCAAUCGUUCGGACGGUACCUCCAGAAGCAGCCACGGCUAACUUCGUGCCAGCAGCCGCCGCGGUAAC
rnacentral:rRNA from 1 species